rnacentral:rRNA from 1 species
GAUGAACGCUGGCGGCGUGCUUAACACAUGCAAGUCGAACGGGAUCCCAGGGGUGCUUGCCCUUUUUGGUGAGAGUGGCGAACGGGUGAGUAACACGUGAGUCACCUGUCCUUUUCUUUGGGAUCAGCAUGCGAAAGGGUGUUUAAUACCUUAUGUUCUGUCUGCCUCGCAUGGGGUGGGUGGGAAAGGCUUUGGCCGGAUUUGGGUGGGGUCGCGGUCUGUGAGCUCGUUGGGGGUGGGAUGGCUUACCCAGGCUGUGGCGGGUAGCGGGUCUGAGAGGGUGGUCGGACACAGUGGGGCUGAGAGAUGGUCCGGACGGCUGCGGGAGGCAGCAGUGGGGGAUAGUGGACAAUGGGCGAAAGCCUGAUGGAGCGAGGGAGGGUGGGGGACGAAGGGUUUCGGGGUGUAAUCUUGUUUGGCUCUGAGCGAGGCAUGCCAGGGGGUGCGUGGAGUGUAGGGGUGGAUUAGCGCCGGCUAACUACGUG